GCCCGGGUGGUGUAAUAUAUCAGCACGGCAGACCGGAUAUCUGCAAAUGGGGGUUCGAGUCCCGCCUGAGGUU
rnacentral:tRNA from 1 species